rnacentral:rRNA from 1 species
GACGAACGCUGGCGGCGUGCCUAAUACAUGCAAGUUGAGCGCUGAAGGUUGGUACUUGUACCCACUGGAUGAGCAGCGAACGGGUGAGUAACGCGUGGGGAAUCUGCCUUUGAGCGGGGGACAACAUUUGGAAACGAAUGCUAAUACCGCAUAAAAACUUUAAACACAAGUUUUAAGUUUGAAAGAUGCAAUUGCAUCACUCAAAGAUGAUCCCGCGUUGUAUUAGCUAGUUGGUGAGGUAAAGGCUCACCAAGGCGAUGAUACAUAGCCGACCUGAGAGGGUGAUCGGCCACAUUGGGACUGAGACACGGCCCAAACUCCUACGGGAGGCAGCAGUAGGGAAUCUUCGGCAAUGGACGAAAGUCUGACCGAGCAACGCCGCGUGAGUGAAGAAGGUUUUCGGAUCGUAAAACUCUGUUGGUAGAGAAGAACGUUGGUGAGAGUGGAAAGCUCAUCAAGUGACGGUAACUACACAGAAAGGGACGGCUAACUACGUG